UACGUAGGGUCCAAGCGUUAUCCGGAAUUACUGGGUGUAAAGAGUUGCGUAGGUGGCAUUGUAAGUUGAUAGUGAAAGCGUUCGGCUCAACCGGAUAUCCAUUAUCAAAACUGCAAAGCUAGAGGACGAGAGAGGUUAUUGGAAUUCCCUGUGUAGGAGUGAAAUCCGUAGAUAUAGGGAGGAACACCGAUGGCGUAGGCAGAUAACUGGCUCGUUUCUGACACUAAGGCACGAAAGCGUGGGUAGCAAACGGG
rnacentral:rRNA from 1 species